GUGACCGGCUGCUCGCCCUCGCUGGGCGAGCUACCUCCAAGCACAAAGGCAGCUCCAGUAAGGGAGAGCCGCUGCAGCCCGAGAAGACAGAGCGCCCUGUUUGGAUCAUGAAGGCAGUUCUCCUGCAGGUUAAGUCCAUCUUCAGCAGGACAAAGAUGUAGACACUGUCUGGCCUGGAGUGCUCCCCACAAAGAUCUCCCUCUUUUAAGGAGAAUGCUCUUCAAAACCUCUACUGCAUAAAUUAAUUGGUGGUACCCAGAGGACUGAUACGUGCGGAGAAUCUUCUCUCCCCUAAC